rnacentral:rRNA from 1 species
UAUAAGUCUCCUGAAGGAACGUUGAAGACGACGACGUUGAUAGGUCGGGUGUGUAAGCGCAGCGAUGCGUUGAGCUAACCGAUACUAAUGAACCGUGAGGCUUAACCUU